rnacentral:rRNA from 1 species
UACGUAGGGACCGAGCGUUGUCCGGAAUCAUUGGGCGUAAAGAGCGUGUAGGCGGCCACUUAAGUCCUGCGUGAAAUCUUGCGGCUCAACCGCAAGCGGUCGUGGGAAACUGAGUGACUAGAGUGCGGGAGAGGAAAGUGGAAUUCCUGGUGUAGCGGUGAAAUGCGUAGAUAUCAGGAGGAACACCGGUGGUGUAGACGGCUUUCUGGACCGUAACUGACGCUGAGACACGAAAGCGUGGGUAGCAAACAGG